CCAAGACCAUGUAGGGACCCCCCCAAUUCGUAGAGUCUGCUUGGCCGAGACAUAGGUCAAGAAUCCUGUCCUGGGAUGUGGGAAAGGCCCCCACAUCUGUUCCUGUCAGGCCCCAUCAGGGGACUUGGGCGAUGUUCCUGUUAUCAGCUCAAGAGUCCAAGACUGUAAAAAUACUUGUUCACUGAAAAGGUGUAAGUGUAAAUGUUUAUUU